rnacentral:lncRNA from 1 species
UUUACGUUCUCCUUUGAAUCCUCAUCGAAACGCUUUUCGUUUCGUCUCAAUCGGAGUUUCCGUCGAGAAUUUACGACGAAAACAAGUUGGACUCGUCUUGGCUCCCUUCCACUCGCUAUAGCGACCGAGAUGACAUCCUCACUCGCUAUAGCGACCUGUCAGGCCUCAAAGGGGUCCUCCUUUGCGUUCUCCUUUGAAUCCUCAUCAAAACGCUUUUCGUUUCGUCUCAAUCGGAGUUUUCGUUGAGAUUUUACGACAAAAACAAGUAAAACUCAUCUUAAACUCCUUGGCUUGUUCCUGCUCGCCCUACCUCCAUCUUUGCGUUCACUUUCGAAUCUCGAUCGAAACGUCUCUUGUUUC